AAUAAGUGAAAUUUUACACUGUUUAUGUCCAUCAUUUGACCGUUCGUCUUAUUUAAAUUUUUUUUAUGAUUAGUAUUUAUUGUUAUUAAAUGAUAAAAUAUGAAUAGUACUUUAUGUCUUACUACUUUUUUUAAAAAAAAAUUAAAUAAGAUGGAUGGUCAAAUGUUGGACACAGAUAUCCACGACUACAUUUAUU
rfam:Oryza glaberrima chromosome 4 Oglab04_0221_36, whole genome shotgun sequence.